rfam:Salmo salar isolate Sally breed double haploid chromosome ssa02, whole genome shotgun sequence.
AAUGCACCAAUUUGUAAGUCGCUCUGGAUAAGAGCGUCUGCUAAAUGACGUAAA